rnacentral:rRNA from 1 species
AUGUAUAAGUACAAACCUUCAUAAGGUGAAACCGCGAACGGCUCAUUAUAACAGCUAUAAUUUACUAGACCUUGAGCAACUACUUGGAUACCUGUGGUAAUUCUAGAGCUAAUACAUGCACCGAAGUUGUUCCUCACGGAGCAAUGCAUUUAUUUGAGCAAAACCAGGCGGCUUCGGCCGUUUCUGUUGAUUCAGAAUAACUAAGCUGAUCGCAUGGGCUUGUCCCGGCGACGUGUCUUUCAAGUGUCUGCCUUAUCAACUUUCGAUGGUAGUGUACGUGACUACCAUGGUGUUGACGGGUAACGGAGGAUAAGGGUUCGACUCCGGAGAAGGGGCCUGAGAAAUGGCCACUACGUCUAAGGAUGGCAGCAGGCGCGCAAAUUACCCACUCUCAGUUCGAGGAGGUAGUGACGAAAAAUAACAAGGCCGUUCUCUUUGAGGCCGGCCAUUGGAAUGGGUACAACUUAAACCCUUUAACGAGUAUCAAUGAGAGGGCAAGUCUGGUGCCAGCAGCCGCGGUAAUUCCAGCUCUCAAAAUGCAUAGAACCAUUGCUGCGGUUAAAAAGCUCGUAGUUGGAUCUGUGCCGGCGACGUGGUCCGCCCUAACCGGCGGUACUGCGCUCGUCGGCUUUGGGCCGGUCUUCGGUCGGUCGCCUUCACUGGCGGCCGCUCGUGGCUGGCUGGUUUACUUUGAGCAAAUCAGAGUGCUCAGCACAGGCGUCUCGCCGGAAUGUUCGUGCAUGGAAUAAUAGAAAAGGAUUUCGGUUCUCUUUUAUUGGUUUUGUGAACUGAGAUAAUGGUUAACAGAGACGGACGGGGGCAUUCGUAUUGCUGCGUGAGAGGUGAAAUUCUUGGACCGCAGCAGGACGGACUACAG